AGAGUUUGAUCAUGGCUCAGAGUGAACGCUGGCGGCGUGCUUAACACAUGCAAGUCGAACGAUGAAGCCCUGCUUGCAGGGUGGAUUAGUGGCGAACGGGUGAGUAAUAUAUAGCUAACCUGCCCCUUAGAGAGGGACAACAGUUGGAAACGACUGCUAAUACCUCAUACUCCUUUUUAUCAUAAGAUAGAUCGGGAAACGCUCCGGCGCUAAGGGAUGGGGCUUUACGGUAUCAGGUAGUUGGUGGGGUAAAAGCCUACCAAGCCGACGAUGGGUAGCCGGCCUGAGAGGGUGAACGGCCACAAGGGGACUGAGACACGGCCCUUACUCCUACGGGAGGCAGCAGUGGGGAAUAUUGGACAAUGGACCAAAAGUCUGAUCCAGCAAUUCUGUGUGCACGAUGAAGGUCUUCGGAUUGUAAAGUGCUUUCAGGUGGGAAGAAGAAAGUGACGGUACCACCAGAAGAAGCGACGGCUAAAUACGUGCCAGCAGCCGCGGUAAUACGUAUGUCGCAAGCGUUAUCCGGAAUUAUUGGGCGUAAAGCGAGUCUAGGCGGCUUGUUAAGUCAGAUGUGAAAAUGCGGGGCUCAACUCCGUAUUGCGUUUGAAACUGGCAGGCUAGAGUACUGGAGAGGUGGGCGGAACUACAAGUGUAGAGGUGAAAUUCGUAGAUAUUUGUAGGAAUGCCGAUAGUGAAGACAGCUCACUGGACAGAUACUGACGCUAAAGCUCGAAAGCGUGGGGAGCAAACAGGAUUAGAUACCCUGGUAGUCCACGCCCUAAACGAUGCACACUAGUUGUUGCUAUGCUAGACAUAGCAGUAAUGCAGUUAACACAUUAAGUGUGCCGCCUGGGGAGUACGGUCGCAAGAUUAAAACUCAAAGGAAUAGACGGGGACCCGCACAAGCGGUGGAGCAUGUGGUUUAAUUCGACGAUACGCGAAGAACCUUACCUGGACUUGACAUAGAAAGAAUAACGCAGAGAUGUGAUAGUGCUAGCUUGCUAGAACUUUCAUACAGGUGCUGCACGGCUGUCGUCAGCUCGUGUCGUGAGAUGUUGGGUUAAGUCCCGCAACGAGCGCAACCCUCGUGUUUAGUUGCUAACAGUUCGGCUGAGAACUCUAAACAGACUGCCUGGGUAACCAGGAGGAAGGUGAGGACGACGUCAAGUCAUCAUGGCCCUUAUGUCCAGGGCUACACACGUGCUACAAUGGGGCAUACAAAGAGCAGCGAUACCGCGAGGUGGAGCAAAUCUGUUAAAAUGCCUCUCAGUUCGGAUAGCACUCUGCAACUCGAGUGCUUGAAGUUGGAAUCGCUAGUAAUCGUGGAUCAGCAAUGCCACGGUGAAUACGUUCCCGGGUCUUGUACUCACCGCCCGUCACACCAUGGGAAUUGAAUUCAUUCGAAGCGGGGAUGCUAAGAUAGCUACCUUCCACAGUGGAUUUAGUAACUGGGGUGAGUGU
rnacentral:rRNA from 1 species